rnacentral:rRNA from 1 species
AUUGAACGCUGGCGGCAUGCCUUACACAUGCAAGUCGAACGGUAACAGGUCUUCGGAUGCUGACGAGUGGCGAACGGGUGAGUAAUACAUCGGAACGUGCCUAGUAGUGGGGGAUAACUACUCGAAAGAGUGGCUAAUACCGCAUGAGAUCUACGGAUGAAAGCAGGGGAUCGCAAGACCUUGUGCUACUAGAGCGGCCGAUGGCAGAUUAGGUAGUUGGUGGGAUAAAAGCUUACCAAGCCGACGAUCUGUAGCUGGUCUGAGAGGACGAUCAACACCACUGGGACUGGGACACGGCCCAGACUCCUACGGGGGGCAGCAGUGGGGAAUUUUGGACAAUGGGCGCAAGCCUGAUCCAGCAAUGCCGCGUGCAGGAUGAAGGCUUCCGGGUUGUAAACUGCUUUUGUACGGAACGAAAAGCCCUGGGUUAAUACCCUGGGGUCAUGACGGUACCGUAAGAAUAAGCACCGGCUAACUACGUGCCAGCCGCCGCCGUAAUAC